rnacentral:rRNA from 1 species
GACGAACGCUGGCGGCGUGCUUAACACAUGCAAGUCGAACGGAAAGGCCCUGCUUUUGUGGGGUGCUCGAGUGGCGAACGGGUGAGUAACACGUGAGUAACCUGCCCUUGACUUUGGGAUAACUUCAGGAAACUGGGGCUAAUACCGGAUAGGAGCUCCUGCUGCAUGGUGGGGGUUGGAAAGUUUCGGCGGUUGGGGAUGGACUCGCGGCUUAUCAGCUUGUUGGUGGGGUAGUGGCUUACCAAGGCUUUGACGGGUAGCCGGCCUAGAGGGCGACCGGCCACAUUGGGACUGAGAUACGGCCCAGACUCCUACGGGAGGCAGCAGUGGGGAAUAUUGCACAAUGGGCGGAAGCCUGAUGCAGCAACGCCGCGUGCGGGAUGACGGCCUUCGGGUUGUAAACCGCUUUCGCCUGUGACGAAGCGUGAGUGACGGUAAUGGGUAAAGAAGCACCGGCUAACUACGUG